UGAAGAGUAGGGCCACCAGGAUUUCAUAAGUAAAAAGAUGAUGAAAAUAUUUUCUUUAUAAGUCCAGUUCCCCUAGUUGGGGAUGAUAUGUUUCAUUGGCAAGUCACCCUAAUGAAAAUUAAUGAAAGUCCCUUUAAGAUUGUCUAUUCCUUUUUGGCAAUUAAUUUUUUUACAAACCACCUCUUCAAGCCACCUGAGGUUGAAUUUAAAGUAAGAAUUUAUCAUCUAACUAUUAGUAAUGGCACCAUUGGUUGUGAUACUCUAAAAUCACAAUGGCUUCUUGCUUUAACUAUUUCUAAAGGUCUUUUAUCCAUAUGUUCACUGCAUGUACUCCAAACACAGAUGACCCCCCCCCAAUGCCAGUGAUUGUACAGAUCUAUAAAACAGACAGAAAUAAGAAUAACAGAAUAUCUUAGUAAUGAGCUCAGUAGUAUAA
rnacentral:lncRNA from 1 species